GAACGCUGGCGGCAUGCCUUACACAUGACAAGUCGAACGGCAGCGACGGGAGACAAUCCGUGGGUGGCGAGGUGGACGGAACGGGUGAGUAAUAUAGUACGGAACGUCGCCCAGUCGGUGGGGAUAACGUAGACGAAAGCUACGCUAAUACCGCAUACGAUCUAUGGAUGAAAGCGGGGGAUCGCAAGACCUCGCGCGAUUGGAGCGGCCGAUAUCAGAUUAGGUAGUUGGUGAGGUAAAGGCUCACCAAGCCGACGAUCUGUAGCUGGUCUGAGAGGACGACCAGCCACACUGGGACUGAGACACGGCCCAGACUCCUACGGGAGGCAGCAGGUGGGAAUUUUGGACAAUGGGCGCAAGCCUGAUCCAGCAAUGCCGCGUGCAGGAUGAAGGCCUUCGGGUUGUAAACUGCUUUGUACGGAACGAAACGGUGAGCUCUAAUACAGUUUGCUAAUGACGGUACCGUAAGAAUAAGCACCGGCUAACUACGUG
rnacentral:rRNA from 1 species